AUUGAACGCUGGCGGCAGGCCUAACACAUGCAAGUCGAGCGGAUGAAGGGAGCUUGCUCCUGGAUUCAGCGGCGGACGGGUGAGUAAUGCCUAGGAAUCUGCCUGGUAGUGGGGGAUAACGUCCGGAAACGGGCGCUAAUACCGCAUACGUCCUGAGGGAGAAAGUGGGGGAUCUUCGGACCUCACGCUAUCAGAUGAGCCUAGGUCGGAUUAGCUAGUUGGUGGGGUAAAGGCCUACCAAGGCGACGAUCCGUAACUGGUCUGAGAGGAUGAUCAGUCACACUGGAACUGAGACACGGUCCAGACUCCUACGGGAGGCAGCAGUGGGGAAUAUUGGACAAUGGGCGAAAGCCUGAUCCAGCCAUGCCGCGUGUGUGAAGAAGGUCUUCGGAUUGUAAAGCACUUUAAGUUGGGAGGAAGGGCAGUAAGUCAAUACCUUGCUGUUUUGACGUUACCAACAGAAUAAGCACCGGCUAACUUCGU
rnacentral:rRNA from 1 species